GGGGAAUAUUGCACAAUGGGGGAAACCCUGAUGCAGCGACGCCGCGUGAGUGAAGAAGUAUUUCGGUAUGUAAAGCUCUAUCAGUAGGGAAGAAAGAAAUGACGGUACCUAACUAAGAAGCCCCGGCUAACUACGUGCCAGCAGCCGCGGUAAUACGUAGGGGGCAAGCGUUAUCCGGAUUUACUGGGUGUAAAGGGAGUGUAGGUGGCAAGGUAAGUCAGAUGUGAAAACCCAGGGCUCAACCCUGGGACUGCAUUUGAAACUAUCUAGCUAGAGUGCAGGAGAGGUAAGUGGAAUUCCUAGUGUAGCGGUGAAAUGCGUAGAUAUUAGGAGGAACACCAGUGGCGAAGGCGGCUUACUGGACUGUAACUGACACUGAGGCUCGAAAGCGUGGGGAGCAAAC
rnacentral:rRNA from 1 species